AUUGAACGCUGGCGGCAGGCCUAACACAUGCAAGUCGAACGAGUGGCGGACGGGUGAGUAAUGUCUGGGAAACUGCCUGAUGGCGGGGGAUAACUACUGGAAACAGUAGCUAAUACCGCAUACCAUCAGAUGUGCCCAGAUGGGAUUAGCUAGUUGGUGGGGUAACGGCUCACCAGGGCGACGAUCCCUAGCGGGUCUGAGAGGAGGACCAGCCACACUGGAACUGGGACACGGCCCAGACUCCUACGGGAGGCAGCAGUGGGGAAUUUUGCACAAUGGGCGCAACCCUGAUGCAGCCAUGCCUCGUGUAUGAAGAAGGCCUUCGGGUUGUAAAGUACUUUCAGCGGGGAGGCGUUACCCGAAGAGGAAGCCCCGGCUAACUCCGUGCCAGCCGCCGCGGUAAUUC
rnacentral:rRNA from 1 species